CCAGACUCCUACGGGAGGCAGCAGUGGGGGAUAUUGCACAAUGGGGGAAACCCUGAUGCAGCGACGCCGCGUGAGUGAAGAAGUAUUUCGGUAUGUAAAGCUCUAUCAGCAGGGAAGAAAAAAGACGGUACCUGACUAAGAAGCCCCGGCUAACUACGUGCCAGCAGCCGCGGUAAUACGUAGGGGGCAAGCGUUAUCCGGAUUUACUGGGUGUAAAGGGAGCGUAGACGGCAAUACAAGUCGGAAGUGAAAUACCCGGGCUCAACCUGGGAACUGCUUUGGAAACUGUAUGGCUGGAGUGCUGGAGAGGUAAGCGGAAUUCCUAGUGUAGCGGUGAAAUGCGUAGAUAUUAGGAGGAACACCAGUGGCGAAGGCGGCUUACUGGACAGUAACUGACGUUGAGGCUCGAAAGCGUGGGGAGCAAACAGGAUUAGAUACCCCAGUA
rnacentral:rRNA from 1 species